CGCCUCUUGCAUAAUAUAAGAAUAAGAGGUCCCGCCUGCCCUGUGACCGCAAGUUUAACGGCCGCGGUAUUUUGACCGUGCAAAGGUAGCGCAAUCACUUGUCUUUUAAAUAAAGACCUGUAUGAAUGGCAUAACGAGGGCUAAACUGUCUCCUCACCCUAGUUAAUGAAAUUGAUCCUCCCGUGCAGAAGCGGGAAUUAACUCAUAAGACGAGAAGACCCUGUGGAGCUUUAGAUGAACAGAUGAGUUUGUUAACAAUUAAACCUUGUGAAAGAUAAUAAACCUACAACCUCAUCUUAAUAUCUUUAGUUGGGGCGACCGCGGAGUAAAACAAAACCUCCGUGAGGAUUGAGGUGAAAACCUUAUACCCAAGAAAGUCAUUUCUAAGUACCAAAAAAUUUGACCUAUAGAUCCGGCAAUGACCGAUCAACGAACCUAGUUACCCCAGGGAUAACAGCGCAAUCCUCUUUAAGAGUCCCUAUCGACAAGGGGGUUUACGACCUCGAUGUUGGAUCAGGACAUCCUAAUGGUGUAGCCGCUAUUAAGGGUUCGUUUGUUCAACGAUUAAAGUCCU
rnacentral:rRNA from 1 species